rnacentral:rRNA from 1 species
ACGGGUGAGUAACACGUAUCCAACCUGCCGAUAACUCGGGGAUAGCCUUUCGAAAGAAAGAUUAAUAUCCGAUGGUAUAUUAAAACCGCAUGGUUUUACUAUUAAAGAAUUUCGGUUAUCGAUGGGGAUGCGUUCCAUUAGUUUGUUGGCGGGGUAACGGCCCACCAAGACUACGAUGGAUAGGGGUUCUGAGAGGAAGGUCCCCCACAUUGGAACUGAGACACGGUCCAAACUCC